AUUUGUUGAGUCACAUACUCAAUACCAUCGCGCCGGGUGGAGCCACCGGCGACUGCACGAGCGACGAGCGCCGGCUGCCCCGCGCGCCCUUCACAUCAGUCAGCUGUUGCACCGCUUCGAGCACGGCUGCGCUUACGCACUUCUUAUUUUCCGUCGCGUUAAUAUUGUAACAUAUUGUAACAGUCCCUUAUUUUAUUAUACCAUUUUAUACAGUCCACCAAGUUUAAUUUACCAUCCGAAUCAUCAUAUACAACACAUCACUGAGCUAUCGUCGCGAUCAUUGGUCCUUCUCCCGUGAAGUUGAAACCAAAACGGAAUUUUCCAAAUUCAAAAAGCCAACGGUUCAUCGGUUGGAGAACAAAGAACUUCGUCUUCGCCUUCAAGCUUCGCGGAAGAUCAUCAUUUUUGCGUGUCAUCGUCUGCAUUUGGGUCUUCGUGAACGUCGAUACGGCUACGGCAGCCGUCUUUAUCAAGUUCCACCAACGGGCGGCGCAAAAGGAGGUCGUCGAGCGAGGGUCUUGAGGGUCAUACAUCGUGCCAGCAUCGCAUAAUUCAUCGUGUGUGGUGCUACAUAUUCGUUCGCAUUUUGGUACAUUGAGAUUACCGGCACGGUUUCAUUUAAACCGUCUUAGCCGACGUCAAGUCAACGGACGAACAAUAAUUGGGACUGCAUCAACUCAGCGUUUGCAAAUUACUUCUCAAGAUUGUCGUCGUGCAUCGAGAAACGUGAAGAAUCUCCUCGUCACAAUCAACAUAAGUGGUUUGCGUCAACAAAACCGUGAGAUCGUUCCAAUUUAUUAUUCCUUAUUCACAUUUUCAUAUUAAUUAUUAUCAUAGUAAUCAUACUUCCUUAAUUUCAUUCCCAUAUUGCUUUAAUUUCUUCGCAUUAGAAUUAGUGCAAAUCAUCUUUCAAAACAAUUUUUUUUUUUUCUUCCACCCGCAUUGAAUUUAGACUGUUACAUCUUGCGUCAUCAUUCCAUAUCUCAUUAGUACUUAGUUUGGAUCACCUUUAGUGUUCAUUGUAUUCAUUUACAUUUAUCAUUUAUGCAAUUUAAAUUAUUUUUACUGUGUUUUAACAUAUCAAUUUGUGUUUAGAGUGACAAAGCAAUUUAAUGCACAUUUAAGCUCCUUGAAAAAUUUUCAUAGCAAAACACGCCUCUGCAAUUUAGUCAAAUAAUUAUUUCCGCAGCGUAUUGCUACUACUUUUUUGCUAGGCUUUUUGCAUUAAGCAACAUAUUGCCUUUACUUUUUUAAUAGGCUCUUUGCGACAGUUAAGCGCCUGGACAUAUUUUAAUAGCAAAUCUCGCUUUGAAUCUUUGUUUAAAAUUUUCAUCAGGCAUUUAAAUAGAAGUUAGAUUACUGUUGUAGCUUUAUUAAAUAGUAGCUAAAUAUGUCUGACAUUAAAACGCUUAUUAAAAAGCGAGCUGCGCUUAAGGCUAAGCUUACGCAGUUCACAAAUUAUUUAAAUGUAGUCAAGUCUUGCGAAAAGUUAAGUGAGACUCAGCUCAUUGAACUUGAACAACGGUUAAUUGCGUUCGAAAAUUCAUAUGAGAAAUAUGACACGUUACAGAUCAGCCUGGAAGAAGCAGUGGAGGAACCCAGUGAGCAAUAUGCGGAACGCGAGGAAUUCGAGAACUUGUACUACGCGCUGCUUGCUUCUGCGCGUCAGCUGGUCGGCAACGCUCGCCGGGAGUUGUCGGCGGAUUCCGCGUCUGAGGUUGUAUCUGGUACUUCUCACACACACAAACACACAUCAGUUCGUCUACCCAAAAUUGAUUUACCUAAGUUUUCUGGCAGCUAUCAUGACUGGCUAGAAUUUAGGGACACAUUUAUUUCCAUCAUACAUAAUAAUGAGAGCAUAGACAAAAUAAACAAACUGCAUUAUCUUCGUGCUUCUUUAAAAGGCAGUGCCUCUCUCAUUAUUGACAAUUUAGACUUUAGGUCAGAUAAUUAUGACGCCGCUUGGAAGUUGCUCUGCUCAAGGUAUGACAAUAAGAGACUGCUUGUUAAUAAUCAUGUUCAAGCCAUUUUUAAUGUAAACAGCAUCAGCAGAGAAUCAAGUAAGGCAUUACGUCAUUUAGUUGAUACAGUUAACAAAAAUUUAAGAGCUUUGUCCACUCUUGGUCAGCCUGUACAGUAUUGGGACACUCUUAUUAUCUACAUCAUGACCAGUAGGCUUGAUCAGGUGACGAAUCGUGAAUGGGAAGAGCACAGGAAUUCGUUGUCUGACCCUCCAACGUUAGACAUUUUCAUUAAUUUCAUCAGCAAUAGAGCUGACUUAUUGGAGACACUAGAAGAGUCUAGACCUUUAAAAUCUAGGUCUGAAGGCACUGCUGACAGUUAUCAUAGGUCAAAAUCUUUUGCAUUAACAUGCGAUUCUUCAAACUUAAAACUAUUAUCUUGUCCCAUGUGUAAGGAAAAGCACUUCAUUUUUCAGUGCGACCAAUUUAGAGCUUUACCCGUUCAGGAUAGGAUCAAGAAAGCUCACGCUUCAAAAGUUUGUCUCAAUUGUCUUCGACCAGGUCAUCACGCACAAACAUGCAAGUUAAGUCAUUGUAAAUAUUGUCCUGAAAAACAUAAUACUUUGCUGCACACUGAUAAAGAAUCUCCUCGCACACAAAACAUAGUUCUUUCUGCGAAUCACCUAAAUACUGCAAAGGUUGUAUUACUGUCCACAGCGGUCGUGAAGGUGUCCGACGCUGAAGGCAACCUCCAUGAUGCCAGACUGUUGUUGGACAACGGAAGCACUGCGAACUUCGUAACUGAAGACUUCUGCCGCAAGCUACGUAUCCAUUCUUAUCCCAUUACAUCUAAUGUAAAAGGCAUAAAUGACCAGUCUUCGAUAUGCUCACGUGGCUGUAUAAUUUUAAUUAAGGCAGGCCAUAGUGAGUUUGAGAUAGAGUUGGAUUGCUAUGUCAUAUCACAAGUUUCUUCUUCUGUACCUAAUACUUUUAUUCAUACAGAUAAUAUUUGUUUACCUAGCAAUAUAGUUCUUGCCGACCCUAACUUUUAUACUCCGUCUUCCAUCGACAUCCUUGUCGGAGCGGAAGUAUUUUGGGGUAUCAUAGGCAUGAAUCGCAUUCCGCUAGGGAAAAACAUGCCUACCUUAGUAGACUCGAAAUUAGGCUGGAUAGUAACAGGUGUUGUACAGCAGCCUAAUCAUUCAUUUCCUCACACUUCUUUUCUUACUCUUACAGACGAUUUACGGCUGGGUUUGAAUCGUUUUUGGGAGCUGGAUUCAGUACAUCCACAACACAAACAGACAUGCGAGGAGCGAUCCUGCGAAGACAUUUUCGUAGAGACCACCUAUCGCGAUGCGGAUGGACGGUUGCUCUUGGGAUGAACCCGUUCCUGAAGAGAUUCAGCAUGUUUGGAGUGACUUCCUACACACCCUUCCUCGUCUGAAUGAACUGAACAUACCCCGCUGGGUCACUUGGCGCAUCACUCGGGUGCUUCCUGGCAGAGACGGCAUAGCAAGGGUCGCCGACAUCCAUACACGAAAGGGUGUCAUACGGCGCGCCUUUAACACCAUCUGCCCUCUACCUGUCGCUGUUGAAGACUCUUCAACGGGGGGAGG
rnacentral:misc_RNA from 1 species